GGUAAUGGCCUACCAAGGCGUCGACGGGUAGCCGGCCUGAGAGGGUGGACGGCCACAUUGGGACUGAGACACGGCCCAGACUCCUACGGGAGGGCAGCAGUGGGGAAUAUUGCACAAUGGGCGGAAGCCUGAUGCAGCGACGCCGCGUGGGGGAUGACGGCCUUCGGGUUGUAAACUUCUUUCACCAUUGACGAAGGUUUUGUGACGGUAGAUGGAUAAGAAGCACCGGCUAACUACGUGCCAGCAGCCGCGGUAAUACGUAGGGUGCGAGCGUUGUCCGGAAUUACUGGGCGUAAAGAGCUCGUAGGUGGUUUGUCGCGUCGUCUGUGAAAUUCCGGGGCUUAACUUCGGGCGUGCAGGCGAUACGGGCAUAACUUGAGUGCUGUAGGGGAGACUGGAAUUCCUGGUGUAGCGGUGAAAUGCGCAGAUAUCAGGAGGAACACCGAUGGCGAAGGCGGGUCUCUGGGCAGUAACUGACGCUGAGGAGCGAAAGCAUGGGUAGCGAACAGGAUUAGAUACCCUGGUAGUCCAUGCCGUAAACGGUGGGCGCUAGGUGUAGGGGUCUUCCACGACUUCUGUGCCGUAGCUAACGCAUUAAGCGCCC
rnacentral:rRNA from 1 species